rnacentral:rRNA from 1 species
AGAGUUUGAUCAUGGCUCAGGACGAACGCUGGCGGCGUGCUUAACACAUGCAAGUCGAACGAUGAAGCCCUUCGGGGUGGAUUAGUGGCGAACGGGUGAGUAACACGUGGGUAACCUGCCCUUGGCUUUGGGAUAAGCCCUGGAAACGGGGUCUAAUACCGGAUAUGACUGACUCUCGCAUGGGGGUUGGUGGAAAGUUCCGGCGGCCAGGGAUGGGCCCGCGGCCUAUCAGCUUGUUGGUGGGGUGAUGGCCUACCAAGGCGACGACGGGUAGCCGGCCUGAGAGGGCGACCGGCCACACUGGGACUGAGACACGGCCCAGACUCCUACGGGAGGCAGCAGUGGGGAAUAUUGCACAAUGGGCGAAAGCCUGAUGCAGCGACGCCGCGUGAGGGAUGACGGCCUUCGGGUUGUAAACCUCUUUCGACAGGGACGAAGCGUAAGUGACGGUACCUGUAGAAGAAGCACCGGCUAACUACGUGCCAGCAGCCGCGGUAAUACGUAGGGUGCGAGCGUUGUCCGGAAUUAUUGGGCGUAAAGAGCUCGUAGGCGGUUUGUCGCGUCGACUGUGAAAACUGGGGGCUUAACUCUCAGCUUGCAGUCGAUACGGGCAGACUUGAGUUCGGUAGGGGAGACUGGAAUUCCUGGUGUAGCGGUGAAAUGCGCAGAUAUCAGGAGGAACACCGGUGGCGAAGGCGGGUCUCUGGCCGAUCUGACGCUGAGGAGCGAAAGCGUGGGGAGCGAACAGGAUUAGAUACCCUAGUAGUCC